rnacentral:rRNA from 1 species
UACGAAGGGUGCAAGCGUUAUUCGGAAUUACUGGGCGUAAAGAGCGCGUAGGCGGUUCGUUAAGUCAGGGGUGAAAUCCCGGGGCUCAACCUCGGAACUGCCCUUGAUACUGGCGAUCUUGAGUAUGAGAGAGGUAUGUGGAACUCCGAGUGUAGAGGUGAAAUUCGUAGAUAUUCGGAAGAACACCAGUGGCGAAGGCGACAUACUGGCUCAUUACUGACGCUGAGGCGCGAAAGCGUGGGGAGCAAACAGG